UACGUAGGGGGCAAGCGUUGUCCGGAUUCAUUGGGCGUAAAGAGCGUGUAGGCGGCCAGGUAGGUCGGUUGUGAAGACUGGAGGCUCAACCUUCAGAGGUCGACCGAAACCAUCGUGGCUAGAGUCCGGGAGAGGAGAGUGGAAUCCUGGUGUAGCGGUGAAAUGCGCAGAUAUCAGGAAGAACACCCGUGGCGAAAGCGGCUCUCUGGAACGGUACUGACGCUGAGACGCGAAAGCGUGGGGAGCGAACAGG
rnacentral:rRNA from 1 species